ACAAAUAAUUCGUUCACCGUAUCACUAAAUACGGCUCACUAUAAUUAUUUCUAUCCGCCUUGAAAAUUCUUGUGACCAAAGUGUUGGGAGCGGCGAACGGGUGAGUAACACGUUGGAACCUACCCCAGACUCAGGGAUAGCCCGCCGAAAGGCGGAUUAAUACCGGAUAGUCUCGUAAGAGUAAAGCUUUUGCGGUCUGGGAGGGGCCUGCGGCCUAUCAGCUUGUUGGUAGUGUAAAAGACUACCAAGGCUAUGACGGGUAUCUGGUGUGAGAGCAUGACCAGACACAAUGGAACUGAGACACGGUCCAUACUCCUACGGGAGGCAGCAGUGAGGAAUCUUCCGCAAUGGGCGAAAGCCUGACGGAGCGACACCGCGUGGAGGACGAAGGCCUUUUGGUUGUAAACUCCUUUUCUGGGGGAAUAAAUGAUGAAUGUACCCCAGGAAUAAGCACCGGCUAACUACGUGCCAGCAGCCGCGGUAAUACGUAGGGUGCAAGCGUUAUCCGGAAUUAUUGGGCGUAAAGCGUUCGUAGGCUGCCUGGAAAGUUUGUAGUUAAAUCUGAUCGCUCAACGAUCAAAUCGCUACGAAAACUGCCAGGCUGGAGAUUGGCAGGGGCAACUGGAAUUCCACAUGUAGGGGUAAAAUCCGUUGAUAUGUGGAGGAACACCAAAAGCGAAGGCAGGUUGCUGGGCCAUUUCUGACGCUGAGGAACGAAAGCGUGGGGAGCAAACAGGAUUAGAUACCCUGGUAGUCCACGCCGUAAACGAUGGAUACUCGAUGUGGGAAGGAAUCGACCCCUUUCCGUGUCUAAGCUAACGCGUUAAGUAUCCCGCCUGGGGAGUACGGUCGCAAGAUUAAAACUCAAAGGAAUAGACGGG
rnacentral:rRNA from 1 species